AACCGAAAGUCAAAGGAAAUUUUAAAACGAGCGGAGAGCAUCGGAGAGGAUCGGGCAGGAUCAAAGUGAGAGAAGACAGCAGGUAGAGAGAGAAAAGGAGAAGUCUCACCUCCACAUGAUACUGUGAUGUUUCCUGCAUGAUGACGUUGGAGUUUGAAUAUUUCUUUCGCUGCUCUGUGAGGUGAAGAGAGAAAAAUCUGAGGAACUCAGGGCAGACUGUGCCCGCUACCCACUAAGACCUGUAUCUCCCGUCCCCCAGCCUCCCACCCCGAUCAGACAGAUAUCAGGGUGACCAAGGAGCCCGGAAAAGACUUUGCAUAGAGUGCGGAACAGCAUCAGAUGAGCGAUUGUGUGAACUUUGCAUGGAAAAGGAAAGUUACCUCACCAUGGAAACACACAGUGGAAGACACACCUGCACGCAAACCUUCGCUGCACUGACAACCAUGGUUACGACGGACGCGGUGUU